rfam:Myotis davidii contig30985, whole genome shotgun sequence.
GGUGGUUCUUAGGUGAAGCACCCUGGAAUCUGGCUCCCCCCUCUCUGGUUCUGGGUGCAUCACUCGAGAACUGCU